rnacentral:rRNA from 1 species
AGCGAACGCUGGCGGCAGGCCUAACACAUGCAAGUCGAACGAACCCUUCGGGGUUAGUGGCGGACGGGUGAGUAACACGUGGGAACGUGCCUUUAAGUUCGGAAUAACUCAGGGAAACUUGUGCUAAUACCGAAUGUGCCCUUCGGGGGAAAGAUUUAUCGCCUUUAGAGCGGCCCGCGUCUGAUUAGCUAGUUGGUGAGGUAAUGGCUCACCAAGGCUACGAUCAGUAGCUGGUCUGAGAGGAUGACCAGCCACAUUGGGACUGAGACACGGCCCAAACUCCUACGGGAGGCAGCAGUAGGGAAUCUUGCGCAAUGGGCGAAAGCCUGACGCAGCCAUGCCGCGUGGAUGAUGAAGGUCUUAGGAUUGUAAAAUCCUUUCACCGGUGAAGAUAAUGACUGUAGCCGGAGAAGAGGCCCCGGCUAACUUCGUGCCAGCAGCCGCCGUAAAAC